rnacentral:tRNA from 1 species
GGGAGUGUGGCUCAGUGGUAAAGUGCUCACCUAACAUGUGUGAGGCACUGGGUUUGAUCCUCAGUACCACA